UACGUAGGGUGCAAGCGUUGUCCGGAAUUAUUGGGCGUAAAGAGCUCGUAGGCGGUUUGUCGCGUCUGCUGUGAAAACUGGAGGCUCAACCUCGGGCCUGCAGUGGGUACGGGCAGACUAGAGUGCGGUAGGGGAGAUUGGAAUUCCUGGUGUAGCGGUGGAAUGCGCAGGAUAUCAGGAGGAACACCGAUGGCGAAGGCAGAUCUCUGGGCCGUAACUGACGCUGAGGAGCGAAAGCGUGGGGAGCGAACAGGA
rnacentral:rRNA from 1 species